rnacentral:rRNA from 1 species
AUGGACGCAUGUGUUGCUUUUGCCUCGUCGGUGCCCAGCAACAAAGUGUCUCAUCUUGUUUGGGAUUGUGACAUAUUGAUGGAAUAUAGUGACCCGGCCUCGUCGGCACUCGCAUGUGAUGAUCAUGAUUUACCAGGGACUAAUGUGGGUUUUUGGAACAAACACAUCAACGCCUGCCAUGGGAUUGUAAAGUUUUGGGACAAACACACCAACACCCGUCAUGAAACCGGUGUAGGAUUUGCUUUGGUGGAACAAGCCUUUUGCUCGUCAGUACCCGGCCACUGUACUGAUGUAGGCCCUUCUUCUCGUCAGUACUCGGCCAAGAUACUGAUGUAG